GUCUGAUGUACAUCACCACUGUACAAAGGAAGCUCAGAGUAUCGUAAGCCUAGGAAGUCUACAUCUGGGAUCAGAAUUCAAACAAUGUUGUGAAACCACGGCAGUUGUUCCACUUGGAGGAAAGGAAAAAAACCCCAACAACAAAAAGGCAAAACUUGGAGAACUUCAUUUGUGACUUGAAAUUCAACAGCAGAAUAUGCCGUGCCAUGCAACCAGAUACCUUAACAGUGCUAACUUACAUUGCAGUUUGGAGGAAAAGGCUAUCCUUUGUGCUUUAUUCUCCUUUACGUCCCAGGAACUGCAAGGAGAAACCCACCCUUUUAUGUGAGCUUUCACUUUUAAGCGUUUUACUGCUGCCUUUUGGGUUUCUAAAGAAUUCACAGAAGAAAAUUCAGAAACAGAUGGAUUACCAACAUACUCAACAAGUUUCUUCUAUCUAGACUUUGAUGAGAAUGUAUGUGAGUCUUCCUGGAGUUAUUAGGCAAGUACACUUCCAAAGAUUGUCUGCAUUUGUAUCUCCUACCAAAACCACUCAAACUGUAUAUAGAGUACAACUGUACCUAAAAUAUAUAACUG
rnacentral:lncRNA from 14 species